CUAAUACUCCCUCCGUCCAGAAUUACUUGUCAUCAAAAUGGAUGAAAAUGAAUGUAUCUGGAACUAAAAUACAUCUAGAUACAUCCAUUUCAAUGACAAGUAUUUCUGGACAGAGGGAGUAUUAC
rnacentral:pre_miRNA from 1 species